rnacentral:snRNA from 1 species
GGAUGUGAGGGCUAUCUGGCUGUGGCACCUGUCAUCCCAUCGAUUGCUAGAGUUGAUUCAGCUGAUCUGGCUGGCUAAGCGGGUGUCCCCUUCCUCCCUCACCUCUCCAUAUACGUCCCUCCCGAAGCUGUGUGCUCGGUUGAAGAGGACGGCCUUCUCUGCUAGAAGGAGGACCAUCCUUCGGUCAAGGGUAUAAAGGAGCUGUGCUCCCCUGCUAGAACCUCCAAACAAGUCUCAAAAAUGGAGUCGCAGAUUUGACAGAUGUAUUAAGUGUAAUGGACAGUACUUUGAAAGUGAUAAGGUUGUUUUGU